rnacentral:rRNA from 1 species
AUUGAACGCUGGCGGAAUGCUUUACACAUGCAAGUCGAACGGCAGCACGGACUUCGGUCUGGUGGCGAGUGGCGAACGGGUGAGUAAUGUAUCGGCACGUGCCCAGUCGUGGGGGAUAACGUAGUGAAAAUUACGCUAAUACCGCAUACGAUCUAUGGAUGAAAGCGGGGGAUCGCAAGACCUCGCGCGAUUGGAGCGGCCGAUAUCAGAUUAGGUAGUUGGUGGGGUAAAGGCCCACCAAGCCCACGAUCCGUAGCUGGUCUGAGGGGACGACAAUCCACACUGGAACUGAGACACGGUCCAGACUCCUACGGGAGGCAGCAGUGGGGAAUUUAGGACAUUUGGCGAAAGCCUGAUCCAGCCAUUCCGCGUGCAGGAUGCAGGCCCUCGGGUUGUAAACUGCUUUUGUACAGAACGAAAAGGUUUCUACUAAUACUAGGAGCUCAUGACGGUACUGUAAGAAUAAGCACCGGCUAACUACGUGCCAGCCGCCGCGGUAA